CGUAGGGGGCGAGCGUUGUCCGGAUUUAUUGGGCGUAAAACGCUUGUAGGUGGCUACGUCAAGUCGGACGUGAAAUCUCCCGGCUUAACUGGGAGGGGUCGCUCGAUACUGGCGAGCUCGAGGCAGGUAGGGGGAAGCGGAAUUCCCGGUGUAGUGGUGGAAUGCGUAGAUAUCGGGAGGAACACCAGUGGCGAAGGCGGCUUCCUGGACCUGUUCUGACACUGAGGAGCGAAAGCGUGGGGAGCGAUCCGGAUUAGAUACCCGGGUAGUCCACGCCGUAAACGGUGAGCACUAGGUGUCGGGGGUAUCGACCCCUCCGGUGCCGCAGCUAACGCAUUAAGUGCUCUGCCUGGGGAGUACGGCCGCAAGGCUA
rnacentral:rRNA from 1 species